rnacentral:lncRNA from 1 species
CUCUAUGCCUGUUCUUCAACUGCUGUGGCUACUACUAUUCCAAGAGACAGAAUAAGAAAGUUAAAGACAGCAAGAAAUGGAUCUGUAAGGCCCGAAGUGAGUGGUCUGGAAAACGACUGGGCUCACUCACAUGAAUAUAAGGCUAAUCCAUUCAGGAACAGACUAAAUCUCAUCCUUGUUUUCCUGUAAAGGCGACUCAAGAUUUUAUCCACUUGAUUAACAGGUAUGUUCAUAGUAAACCCGAGUAACCAUUUUUGUACAGUGAAUAAAGUAUUUUUAAU